GCCGGUGUAAAGACGGUAAUAGAGGGAUUGCUAGGUUUGAGUAGAGAUGAAGGACGUGGCAAGCUGCGAUAAGCCCGGGGUAAGCGCACGCGACUUAUGAUCCCGGGAUGUCCGAAUGAGAAUCUUAUGUUUUACAUACUCCGUUACAUAGGUGGCGGAGGUCGAACCGUCGGAAUUGAAGCAUCUUAGUACGACGUGGAAGAGAAAUCAAUAGAGAUUACCCAAGUAGUGGCGAACGAAAAGGUAACAGCCCAAACUGAAUCUGUUAUGGUAACUUAACAGAGAUGUGGUGUAUACGGACUCAUAUAAUGAUCCUAGAACAUAGUUGAAGUAAUCUGGAACGUUUUGGCAUAGAGGGUGAUACCCCCGUAGACGAAAUGGUAUAGGAUUAGUUGAGUACCAGAGUAGAUGUCCUUGGUAGUGGGCAUCGAAUAUUAGGAGAAAGUAGCUUCUAAGGCUAAAUAUAACUCAAAACCGAUAGUGCACUAGUACCGUGAGGGAAAGCUGAAAAGUACCCCGGAAGGGGGGUGAAAAGUGCAUGAAAUCUAUUACUUACAGACGUGCAUAGCAUGAAAGGUGAUUUUUCCAAAUUGGAGGUUCUAGCAAUAGAGCUAAAGAUUUGGAGCUCAAAUCGUCAGUGUUAUGCGUUCCGUCUCGAAACACGGGCCAAGGAGCUGACUGUCAUGGCAAGACUAAACCAGACAAGGUGGAGUCGAAGGGAAACCGAGUUCUCGCAGCAUUAGCGAGGAGAAGCGUGUGAAAGUGCGUUGAGUCAUGGCGGUCAGGCUAGAAGCCAGUCGAUCUAAUCCUGAGCAAGCUGAAGGCGGGCGAAAGCCCGCUGGAGGGCUGAAGCAGUUCUGACGUGCAAAUCGUUUGUGUGACUUGGGAUUAGGGGUCAAAAACCAAUCUAGACUGGCGAUUGCUAGUUCCAACCGAAGCGUCUCGUAGGGCGUCCUUAGUGGAGAUAGCGUUUCCUGUAGAGCACUGAUAAGGGAGUAUGGGGAAGAAAUUCCUCGCUCCCCAUUCAAACUCCGAAGGGAUAUGCAUUGUAGAAGCUAGGAGACGGGUUCGUGUGACGUAAGGUUCACGACCGAGAGGGGUUUAACCCAGACCGAAGUUAAGGUCCCUAAAUUUUUUCUAAGUGUCAAGCUAAAGUGUGUGUUCGCGCCAAGACAGCAGGGAGGUAAGCUCAGAAGCAGCUAUCCUUUAAAAAGUGUGUAACAACUUACCUGCCGAGCGUGGGCGCCACAAAAACGGACGGGGCUAAAGAAAAGUACCGAUACUUUGGAUACAUGCCAAUGGGCAUGUCAUGGUAGGUUGGCGUAGUGAUUGGGUCGAAGCAGGGCGGUAACGUCCUGUGGACCAUUUUCUAUUGCAGAUCUUGGCGGCAGUAACAGCAUAGUAGAGUGAGAACCUCUACCACCGCAAGCGCAAGGGUUUCCAGGCAAUGCGUUAUCAGCCUGGAGUUAGUCGAUCCUAAGGAUUACCUCAACAGAGUAAUUCGAAAGGGAAACUGGUUAAUAUUCCAGUACCUUGCAAGUUGCGUUAUUAUCUAUAUGAACCGCUUCCGGAUAGGGGGAGCAUAACCAUCGUUGUGUCUAAGCGUUCGAGAGAUGGGGAGUGUCGUAAUGACGAGAACCAUCUCGAGGCGUUAAUGGCUCUGCGUUAGCAGAGUUCUCUUGAGUCCAGGGGACCUUGAAAAUUUGUGUAGAAAGUGACUUGCAAGCUCGUACCGAGAACCGACACAGGUGCGCUGGCUUAGAAAGCUAAGGUGCUACGGGUAUACCGUAUGGUGAGGGAAUUCGGCAAAUUAGUCCUGUAGCUUAGGUAUAAGGGAUGCCUGCACACUUCAUGAGGAAUGGGGUGAGCAGGUUGCAAUGACAAGGGGGUUUCGACUGUUUAAUAAAAACACAGGCGACUGCUAGUCCGAAAGGAUUUGUAUAGUCGCUGAAUCCUGGCCGGUGCGGGUACCUAAAACUUGGGUUCAACCGAGCUAAGGGCCCGUUAACGCCGGGAGUAACUCUGACUCUCUUAAGGUAGCCAAAUGCCUUGUCGGGUAAGUUCCGACGCGCAUGAAUGGAACAACGAGAGCCCCACUGUCCCCACCUACAACCCGGUGAAGCCA
rnacentral:rRNA from 1 species